rnacentral:rRNA from 1 species
GACGAACGCUGGCGGCGUGCCUAAUACAUGCAAGUCGAGCGGACCAAAGGGAGCUUGCUCCUGGAGGUUAGCGGCGAACGGGUGAGUAACACGUGGGCAACCUGCCUGUAAGACUGGGAUAACAUCGAGAAAUCGGUGCUAAUACCGGAUAAUAAAAGAACUGCAUGGUUCUUUUUGAAAGAUGGUUUCGGCUAUCACUUACAGAUGGGCCCGCGGCGCAUUAGCUAGUUGGUGGGGUAACGGCUCACCAAGGCGACGAUGCGUAGCCGACCUGAGAGGGUGAUCGGCCACACUGGGACUGAGACACGGCCCAGACUCCUACGGGAGGCAGCAGUAGGGAAUCUUCCGCAAUGGACGAAAGUCUGACGGAGCAACGCCGCGUGAGUGAUGAAGGUUUUCGGAUCGUAAAACUCUGUUGUUAGGGAAGAACAAGUGCCGUUCGAAAGGGCGGCACCUUGACGGUACCUAACGAGAAAGCCACGGCUAACUAACGUGCCAGCAGCCGGGUAAAGU